rnacentral:rRNA from 1 species
UGUAAGCGUAUACCAAAGUUGUUGCAGUUAAAACGCUCGUAGUCGGAAUUUGGCAGUUCCGGAUGUGUGCACGUCGUGUGCGCACUUCGCGGGGAUUGCUUUUGUGGUCUUGCGUAGGAUGAGGCACUUUUAUUAGUGAACGUCCUCACGCAACCACUUUUUACUGUGAGAAAAUCAGAGUGCUUAAAGCAGGCAUUUGCCGUGAAUGUAUUAGCAUGGAAUAAUAGAAUAGGACUUGGUUCUAUUUUGUUGGUUUGUUGGGACUGAGUAAUGAUUAAGAGGGACAGUUGGGGGCAUUUGUAUUUCGGCGCUAGAGGUGAAAUUCUUAGAUUGCCGAAAGACAAACUGCUGCGAAAGCGUCUGCCAAGGAUGUUUUCAUUGA